GAAGGCUUCCAGACUUCUCCUUCAUGGUCAGAAUGGUGUGUCAUGGUCCCCUCGUGCUCCCCUGUGAAUUGGAUGCUACAAUUUUCAAAUUGGACCUCUGUGCUGUCAGUGAAUACAGACUUUCACUGCAAAGGCUUUCUGGAGAAGGAGUAUGACAGAAAGAGGGCAAGCUUUGUUGGAAGAGAGAGAAAUGGAACCGCUGGAUUGAAGAGCAAGUCUUUUCUUUCCAGAGUGAUUGUAGCAAAUUACCCUUCAAAUACGCAUGUGUAAGUUAUCCCAUGGCUUUAUAUCUGCACUGAUACUG